CCAGACUCCUACGGGAGGCAGCAGUGAGGAAUAUUGGGCAAUGGAGGCAACUCUGACCCAGCAACGCCGCGUGAACGAUGAAGGUCUUCGGAUUGUAAAGUUCUUUAAGUGGGGACGAAGAAAGUGACUGUACCCACAGAAUAAGCCUCGGCUAACUACGUGCCAGCAGCCGCGGUAAUACGUAGGAGGCAAGCGUUAUCCGGAAUGACUGGGCGUAAAGGGUGUGUAGGCGGUGUAGCAAGUUAGAAGUGAAAUACCUAGAGCUUAACUCAGGUGCUGCUUCUAAAACUGCUAUACUUGAGUGCAGUAGAGGAAAGUGGAAUUCCUAGUGUAGCGGUGGAAUGCGUAGAUAUUAGGAGGAACAUCAGUGGCGAAGGCGACUUUCUGGACUGUAACUGACGCUGAGGCACGAAAGUGUGGGGAGCAAACAGGAUUAGAUACCCGUGUAU
rnacentral:rRNA from 1 species